GAAGAGCUUUUCUCAACUUUCCGAAACAGCACCCCGCCUGAGCUGGCCAGCCCUCUCUGGUUAGGCAGUCUGCUUUUUAAUAAUUCUUGAAAAGCUGGGCGGACGAGAGAAAGGAUGCUAAGGUUUAUUGGGUCGUCCAUUCUUCCGGAACAUCCUCGACCAGCCCCGAGAGAUCGAUGACAGCGUCCUCAGUGAACCUGCUUUUGUAACCAGUCAAUGUCAUCCCCUUGCUUCGGCCAAACAGGGACAAACCCACGCCGGAAAAUGUCUGUGAGAACAACCAACCAACAACAGUCAAACUCAGGUAUUGAGUGACGGUCUCAUCAUCAUAUGAAU
rnacentral:lncRNA from 1 species